UCUGUCAGUUGUCCAGAGAAUUCAGUUAACUCAGUAGCACUUAGAGAUUUUAAUAUUAAUGUUAUUGUAGGAUUUUCUUAGAAGUUACAUUGCAGUUACUGCUGCAAUAGUUUAUUGGGGCACUGGGAAGUUCACAGACUGAACUUUUGAAACUUGGAAGCAAACAGAUGCAACAAGGCCUGGAUUUUCUUGGUUUACAAAGAAAUAGAGAGAGAGAAAUUGAGUAGGAUGAAAAAAAUAAUUUCUGCGUUUUUGCUUUCAUCAGAACAAGGAAAAAGCAAAUGCUUUAAGUAGGCAUGAAAAAGGAUGUUUUCAUUCUCAGAUAAGAAGAAAAAAAUCUUCUCCAGUUUUUGAUUGAUUUUCAGAUUACCAGAACUCAGCCAACAUAGAGAUGGAAAAUAGCCUGUAUAACUAUUUCUUCAGUAUAAAGAACACUGAAGAUCUCAAGUGUGAUCAGGAUACAUGGGAGGAAUUCUUUGUCCUCUGAGUACAGUGAGUGCAGAAGAUAAUCACAUUUCUUAACAGCCAAGCCCCUCAGCAAGACCAGAAAUGUACUUCUUGAAAUGUUGAGUCCUAAAGUGUUAGUCUGUACUGCUGCAACUCCCAGAUAACGUUACGUCAAACUGUCAUGCAAACCUGAAUUUACUCUUAAGAAACCACACCAAAAAUUUAAGUUUUGUUACUGUUUCAAAGCUACUCCAAUUUACAAUGUUCUUAAAAUGUAUUUCUCUGUAGACCUUGUAACAGGAUUUGGCCAUUAGGUGAGUCACUGGAGUUGCUUAAUUAAGCACCUGCACUCCCUGUUUUUAACACGCUGCAACAACAUCUGAGAAACUCCUCCCCGUCCUGCCAAGGUCCGUGCCAGCGAGGUGAGUCAGCUGCGUCUUUGCUGCAUCAUCCCUCUGACAGACAGCACUACCAGGGAGGAUUCAAUAACUACACACAGAAUACAUCUGACUUUCAGCAUCAGCUCUACCUUAAAUGCAAGACAGAGUCUUCAGACCUGACUUAAAUGGUAUUGCAGUUUGGCUGAACAUAUUCCAUGGGUUUUGGGGAACUGGCUCCAGUAUUCCAGUGUUCUCCAGGGCAGCUCUAAACACACCAUGGAAUGAUGAGAUUCAGAACUGCAGGAAGGCAGAUUUAAUGUUCAAACAGAAAAGUCCCUUCUCUUGUGAACUUCCACUAAACACAGCCAUAAGCAACGUGCAAAAACAGAACAGGGAUUCUGAGACGUGAUGACUUGAUUCCCAUACAACCUGCUAUAAUUUGAUUUUUCCAGAAUAUGCUAAUAUGGAGUCAUUCAGAAGACUCAGAAAGGUCUGCAUAACCCUCAGCAAGGUUCCUCAUCCCUGACCAAUUUAAUGAAUUUAUGACAAUUCAUUAAAAUCAGAGAAAAACUAGAUUAAAAUGGACAGGAUUAGGAAAAUAUAUUGCUAAUGGCUUUUAUUUCAUAGAAUCAUAGAGGAAUGGGCAAGAAAUGCCCAAGAGAAUCAUUUGUUUGCCUCAGAAACCACCUACUGUCCUCCUUCCACUGUCUUGUUGAUUUUCUUCAUAAACAUUUGUAUUAAAACCAGUGACAGUAUAAUAAAUCUAUUCAGAAAAUCUACUUACAAUGGCACUUACUGUCAUACUUGAUUUAAUUAUCCUCUUUGAAGAACGACUGCUUGUAGGGUGAAGGUGAUUCUCUCCCAUCUAUCUUCCUCUCUGUAAUCCCCUAAACCAAACAUAAUUCUGAAAAAAUAAAAUAAAAAUGUUUAGGCUCUGACAGUGCUCCUAUUCUUAGUGUAGUUGGGAUGAAUAUAGAGGGACUAGAAAAUACCUGUAAAGGA